rnacentral:rRNA from 1 species
GGAGUUAGCCGGUGCUUCUUCUGUGAGUGAUGUCCUUCCUGCCGGCUAUUAACCCGCAGGCCUUCUUCCUCACUGAAAGUGCUUUACAACCCGAAGGCCUUCUUCACACACGCGGCAUGGCUGGAUCAGGGUUGCCCCCAUUGUCCAAUAUUCCCCACUGCUGCCUCCCGUAGGAGUCUGGGCCGUGUCUCAGUCCCAGUGUGGCUGAUCAUCCUCUCAGACCAGCUACGGAUCGUCGCCUUGGUGAGCCGUUACCUCACCAACCAGCUAAUCCGACAUAGGCUCAUCCGAUAGCGCGAGGCCCGAAGGUCCCCCGCUUUCCCCCGUAGGGCGUAUGCGGUAUUAGCCUGGGUUUCCCCAGGUUAUCCCCCACUACCGGGCAGAUUCCUAUGCAUUACUCACCCGUCCGCCGCUCGCCACCAGGGAGCAAGCUCCCCGUGCUGCCGCUCGACUUGCAUGUGUUAGGCUCGCCGCCACGCGUUCAUCUGAGCCAGAAUACAACUACUCGA